rnacentral:rRNA from 1 species
UACGAAGGGUGCAAGCGUUACUCGGAAUUACUGGGCGUAAAGCGUGCGUAGGCGGUUCGUUAAGUCCGUUGUGAAAGCCCUGGGCUCAACCUGGGAAUGGCAGUGGAUACUGGCGAGCUAGAGUGUGAUAGAGGAUGGUGGAAUUCCCGGUGUAGCGGUGAAAUGCGUAGAGAUCGGGAGGAACACCAGUGGCGAAGGCGGCCAUCUGGAUCAACACUGACGCUGAGGCACGAAAGCGUGGGGGGCAAACAGG